GAAGGUAUAGCUCAGUGGUAGAGCAAGGGCUUAGCAUGCACCAGGUCCUGGGUUCAAUUCCCAGUACCUCCA
rfam:Camelus ferus unplaced genomic scaffold scaffold1776, whole genome shotgun sequence.